AGCCUGAGGAGGAGCCGGCACCCCCGGCCCGGCGCAACGCGGAGGAGGCGCGGAAACCCGGGGAGAAGCGUGAGGCCGAGCGGCAGAUGGCGAUGGAGGAGGCGCGGCGGGAACUGAGGAGCCGCGCUGCGGUCACACAGCUGGGAUGGUGGGUUCAUCCCAGGGCUGUGAGGCAGAGCAGAGGUUCCUGAGUGGAAUUUUGGGAGGUGCAGGCCCUUCCUCGGAGCAGGAGGGUGGUCGUGGCUUCUCCCCAGCAGACCUGGAACCCACGGAAGGGGCCAAGGGGUGUCCUGGCUGUCAGUGCAGCACACUGGUGAGGAAGGAGCUGUUCCUUAGACCUGGGGAGAGAAGCAGAGACCUGCUAAUGAGUAAGGAACCACCACUGAAAUAAAGGUGUUCCCCAUUGAUCUAUUUUAACUGCUUGUAACGGGGUUCUGGUCUCUGAAGACAUUCUGAAGCA
rnacentral:lncRNA from 1 species